AUUUAGAGGAAGGAGAAGUCGUAACAAGGUUUCCGUAGGUGAACCUGCGGAAGGAUCAUUGUCGAUGCCUAAACAUCAAACGACCCGCGAACGUGUUUUUACAAACCUUCCGCGCCGGGGGGGAG
rnacentral:misc_RNA from 1 species